rnacentral:tRNA from 1 species
AAAAAGAUAAGCUAAAGUAAGCUAUUAGGUUCAUACCCUAAAUAUAGAACAAAAUUCUUCUUUUUA